rnacentral:lncRNA from 1 species
UUUACCACUGCCAAACAACAAAAUAUGACAAAUGACAAUAAUUAAUUAUUAUUGCAUUAUUAUUUAUAGAAUACAAUUAUAUACAACUAUUGUUUAUAGAUAAAAGAAAUUCUGAAAUAUCUAAUAUCUUGUAUCAUUUUGCAGAUUAUCCUCAAGUAAGUUAGGUCCUACCCCCUUGCAAUACUACCCCGUACGCACGUACCAAUAACUUUCGGGCCAUAGAGAAUAGAGAAAUAAAAACAAAUCGGGCCUUUGGAAACAAAUAUUUUCAAGGCUAUUUCAAAACAAUGCCUCAAACAGGUAAAAAAUAAUGCAGAAUGAAAAUUUACGGGAUAACCCUUUUGACAUCUUAACAGAAAAUUGAUUCAAUUUCAUAAAAAUGUAUCGUAAUUAUUAAAAUGUAAAGAAACUUA